CAACAUAGAUUUAGCAGCUACACUUAUCUGGGAAACCUGGCAAUGUUAUAAUUAAAGGCCCACUAUAGGCACCCAGAUCACUUCAGCUCAAUGAAGUGGUCUGGGUGCCAGGUCCCCCGGGCUUUAACCCUUCAGAUGUAAACCUAGCCGUUUCAGAGAAACGGCUAUCUUUACAUAGCAGGGUUAAUCCAGCCACUAGUGGUUGUCUCCCUGACAGCCGCUAGAGGCCGCUUCCGCGAUUCUCAG